CCAGACUCCUACGGGAGGCAGCAGUGAGGAAUAUUGGUCAAUGGGCGAGAGCCUGAACCAGCCAAGUCGCGUGAGGGAGGACGGCCCUACGGGUUGUAAACCUCUUUUGCCGGGGGACAAACGGCGGCACGCGUGCCGUCCUGAGGGUACCCGGAGAAAAAGCAUCGGCUAACUCCGUGCCAGCAGCCGCGGUAAUACGGAGGAUGCGAGCGUUAUCCGGAUUCAUUGGGUUUAAAGGGUGCGUAGGUUGUUUUAUAAGUUAGCGGUGAAAUACCGAUGCUCAACAUCGGGGCUGCCGCUAAUACUGUAGGACUAGAGAUCGGAUGCAGCAGGCGGAAUGUGUAGUGUAGCGGUGAAAUGCAUAGAUAUUACACAGAACACCGAUUGCGAAGGCAGCUUGCUAGGCCGGAUCUGACACUGAUGCACGAAAGCGUGGGGAUCGAACAGGAUUAGAUACCCUCGUACU
rnacentral:rRNA from 1 species